AACGAACGCUGGCGGCAGGCUUAACACAUGCAAGUCGAGCGCCCCGCAAGGGGAGCGGCAGACGGGUGAGUAACGCGUGGGAACGUACCUUUUGGUUCGGAACAACUCCGGGAAACUGGAGCUAAUACCGGAUAAGCCCUAACGGGGAAAGAUUUAUCGCCGAAAGAUCGGCCCGCGUCUGAUUAGCUAGUUGGUGAGGUAACGGCUCACCAAGGCGACGAUCAGUAGCUGGUCUGAGAGGAUGAUCAGCCACACUGGGACUGAGACACGGCCCAGACUCCUACGGGAGGCAGCAGUGGAGAAUAUUGGACAAUGGGCGCAAGACUGAUCAAGCCAUGCCGCGUGAGUGAUGAAGGCCUUAGGGUUGUAAAGCUCUUUUGUCCGGGAAGAUAAUGACUGUACCGGAAGAAUAAGCCCCGGCUAACUUCGUG
rnacentral:rRNA from 1 species